rnacentral:lncRNA from 1 species
CUGAAGUCACGGCUCCCUGGAGAUGUUCAGCUCGUCUGCGCUUGGUCUUCGCUAGUAGCCGAGCUGCUCCCUAUGCUCGAGUUCCUAGCGCCCUGCAUCAGCUCGCCGACAGCCAAGCUCUCUGGCACAAGUGCCUCUAAGCCCUGCUCAUUCUCCAACCGUGCCAAUGCUCGCCAGCCCUUAGCCCGCGUCUUUGGUACAAGUCGUCCCAUCAGCUGCCGCUCGUUCCUGACCAGCUCCUACCAGCGCCUUUGAUGAAGGUUCCAAUCAUUGCUUUCAACCUCGGCUCCCUAUCCUUGUCUAGCCUCACGUCGUCUUCAAUCUAGACGUCGCCAAGCACCAGACCUCCGUCUCCCACAUGCCGCUAUUUGUGCUCGACCUCGUCGUGGUCAGGUUGUCUAACUCGCCACCGUUCUGCAGUCCCGCCCUAGCGCCAGAUGUGCUCCGUCCCUGUUCGUCACCACGUCGUCGACUUCAGCCACCUGUCUCACUGUCGACUUACUGCUCAUCUCGCUGCGCUGUCGAGUAUUGCCUCGCCUCGCUGUUCCUCAUCCUUGCUUUCCUGAGUUUCGGCAAGCCGUCGUCCUAUUGUGUUGUCGUGUGGUGCUCUCGACGUCGACCUAAGCACACUCCACACGUCGUGACGUCUCAGUCAUCGCCAAGCUAUCGUGAUAUUUGGCAUGGUAAUUUCUAUUUCCUUGGGUAUUAAAAUAUGUGUUGUGAUUGUAGGUAUAUUAUUUAUUGGAAUACCCGAAUCGCUUGCAGCAAUUUGUUGGAUGUCGUGUGGUAAAUCGCCAGUUUGAGAUAUAGGUUAUAGGAAUAGAGUCUCGAUGGGUAUAUUUGUCGAGCAUGUUUAAACUGGUUCUAAGUUUGCAGUGUGUGGCAUAUCGGUGGUGCGUAAGUUAAAUUUAGUGUUUUAAGAAAUUAUCGAUAAGUCUAUCGAUGUUAAUUAUAUUCAGUGUGUUUGUAUGAUGGAGUCGAUGUCAUGCGUUAGUAGUCAUUAUAUUAUGUGAUUAGUGGUCGAUUAAAUGCUGUGAUUAAAUGUUACUGGCUACAUAAGAAUUUAGAAGCGAGUAGCAUCACCAAGUCGAUCUUAUGUGAAACCCGAUAAUUUCGUAGUGGUUAGUGUACAUAUGUACUCUAGAUAUUUAAGUUGUCGCGAAAAUAGUUUUACCGAACGCUAUGUUAUUUGAUUAUAUUUUAUCUGUUAGGGUAAAUAUUGUGAUAUUUGAUUUUGUUAAGUGUGUAAUUCAAGUUAAGUAAAACAAACAAUUUAAAGAGCUAAUUAAAUUAUUCCUAAACUUAUUUUAAGCCGUUGGUAAUCAAUAACGACGAGUCCAAGUUUAUUUAGAUUUCCGAUGAUAUAUUUUAAUAAGGCUGAUAGUGUGGGUUAAAUAAUUUAUUCUUGCUUGAUUUUAGAAUUAGAUCCGAUUAGAAAGCAGGAACGUGAGUGUUGCACUUAGUGUGUAUGGUUUGUUGUUUCGUGAUGUUUGCGUUAGAUUCGAUUAAUCUAGAGAAGCAUGAUUAUUGCGUUUGGUUAUAAGACGAUACCUAGCGUUUGAUUAUGAAAUGUUGUGAUGCCUUCCCAUUAAGUGUUUAAUUCUUUACUGUGUAAAAUCGUAAUAUUAUCUUGCGAUAUUCGUCUUGAUAUUCAUAUAUGUGCAUUGUGCAUCUCAUGAGGUACGGUAAAUAAUCGUGUGAUGCAGAAGACGAGUCAAGUCGACCCUAAGCGCGGGCUACUCCGCAUGGUGAUGCUGAUGGACGAACCUGCCUGAUCAAGUGCUAGGAUAAGGAUGAUCGUCAAGUGGACAUCGCCUAAUAAACACUAACCUAGUGUUAUCCAGGCAAGCCCCGGUGCAUGCAACCCCUUCCUUGUGUUUUAAACUAUUUUUACACACUUUAAGUCUAGUGAAUGUGCAUUAGGUUAUAGGAGUUGCUUGGAAACCAUUUGAUGUAUUGGCUACCUUGAAAUCCAUUCCUUUUAUAGAUAUCAAAAUAUGAUUUACAAAAAAAUGCUUAGCCCUGCUUUUAAGCAGAUAGAGUUUGUCCUUUGCACUUAUGCCUAGCUCAGGUUUAUCCUGAGGAAGGAUGGCUUCAACCUGCAAGAAUAUUUUAAUUGGGAGCAUGGUGGGAUCUUACUGCAAAGUUCCCUAUAAUGCUCUUUUCAUCCUAAGGAACACAAACACUCCUAAAGAUGGAAGUACUUAAAUUGAGACUUGGGCUAGGAAUAGGUGAUGCUCCACCCAGGUUAAUUAAGGAUUGGAUGCGUAUGUAGGCCUGUAUGAUCAAGGACUAUCUUAACUGGCCACAUGCCCUGGAUAUGGGACAGCGUAAGCUUGAACCCGGCUAUUCCAUAAGUGAAAAGACAACCGCGCACUGGGCGUGGGAGAUGGUGGGAGUAGCGUGUACCCUCCUGGCUAGAGGCUGGAUGGAGGAGUAUUGUGCUCCCGGGUAGCGCGGACUGGUUCACGUUGUGGAGGAUCUGUGGGAACGGUUGACAUAUGAAGGGUUAAGUGCUACAUAUGUCGUGUGGUUAGAGAUCCUCAGCUGAGUAAAUCGAUUCGGAUCGCCGUUAUAUCCUCGGAGAGUGGAGACUUGAUCGCUGCCCUGCAACCUAAGUCAGGAUGUGAACAUUAUGAAUAAAAAUGAUGUUGUAUUGAUGAGAUGGUUAAAUUAGACUAGAUGCAACCAGAGUCUAUUAAUAUUUAAUCUGGCGUUAAAAUAUUGAAAGUAAGGACUAACUUUAGUAAGUUAUUUCUGCAAAAGUAUCUAAGUUCAUUCUUGCUAAAGCCUUUUCCUUGAUUCCUAUUUAACCAUCAUAUCCUUGAGAGUCUUUUCUUUAGUCGGGUAAGUCUUGCUGAGUACUUGCGUACUUAGUGUUUUAUUUCCAUUGUUGCUGCAGGUUACGAGUCACUUUGAUUGUGAUUGGUGUUAAGCGCCGGUGGGCACGACCUUCUUAUAAGUUUAAGUAUUCUUCUAUACUUCUUAUUGAGGUUUGUCACUGAGCUAGCAUAUAUUUCAAACUUAUAAAUAAUUUAUUACAUUUCAAAGUUUAUUCUUUGAACCACUUUUGUAACCACUCCGAUAAAUAUAAUGUAAAUUUGUUGUAACUUGUAAAAUGUGGUAAUAAGAUUUCCGGUGCAAAAUUGUUGGUGUGUGAUUUGUGUUUACUGAAUCCUGCGGUUCUGGUUGUAAGUGGUUUAUCCGGGGUCCAUGGGACACUCGGACAGAUCCUGUUAAGUUAUCCGGUACACAUGCAUAGCUG